AUGAACGCUGGCGGCGUGCCUAAUACAUGCAAGUCGAGCGAACGGACGAGAAGCUUGCUUCUCUGAUGUUAGCGGCGGACGGGUGAGUAACACGCGGAUAACCUACCUAUAAGACUGGGAUAACUUCGGGAAACCGGAGCUAAUACCGGAUGAUAUUUUGAACCGCAUGGUUCAAAAGUGAAAGACGGUCUUGCUGUCACUUAUAGAUGGAUCCGCGCUGCAUUAGCUAGUUGGUAAGGUAACGGCUUACCAAGGCAACGAUGCAUAGCCGACCUGAGAGGGUGAUCGUCCACACUGGAACUGAGACACGGUCCAGACUCCUACGGGAGGCAGCAGUAGGGAAUCUUCCGCAAUGGGCGAAAGCCUGACGGAGCAACGCCGCGUGAGUGAUGAAGGUCUUCGGAUCGUAAAACCCUGUUAUUAGGGAAGAACAUAUGUGUAAGUAACUGUGCACAUCUUGACGGUACCUAAUCAGAAAGCCACGGCUAACUACGUG
rnacentral:rRNA from 1 species